rnacentral:rRNA from 1 species
GUGCCAGCCGCCGCGGUAAUACAGAGGGUGCAAGCGUUGUUCGGAAUUAUUGGGCGUAAAGCGCGUGUAGGCGGCCUGGCAAGUCGGGUGUGAAAGCCCUCAGCUCAACUGAGGAAGUGCGCCCGAAACUGCUAUGGCUUGAGUGCCGGAGAGGGUGGCGGAAUUCCCCAAGUAGAGGUGAAAUUCGUAGAUAUGGGGAGGAACACCGGUGGCGAAGGCGGCCACCUGGACGGUGACUGACGCUGAGACGCGAAAGCGUGGGGAGCAAACAGGAUUAGAUACCCCAGUAGUCC